UUGUAAAGUGGCGCACGGGUGAAUAACACGUGGGUAAUCUGCCCUUGAGUUUAAGAUAACCCCGCGAAAGCGGGGCUAAUACCGAAUAAGACCACGGAGACCAAAGUCUCUGAGGUAAAAGGUGGCCUCUAUUUAUAAGCUACCACUUGAGGAUGAGCCCGCGGCCCAUUAGCUAGUUGGCGGGGUAAUGGCCCACCAAGGCUAUGAUGGGUAGCUGGUCUGAGAGGACGAUCAGCCACACUGGAACUGAGACACGGUCCAGACUCCUACGGGAGACAGCAGUGGGGAAUAUUGCGCAAUGGGCGAAAGCCUGACGCAGCAACGCCGCGUGGGGGAUGAAGGUUUUCGGAUUGUAAACCCCUUUCGAUCGGAACGAAUCUCCUCCUGGUAAAUAAUCAGGAGGAUCGACGGUACCGAGAGAAGAAGCCACGGCUAACUCUGUGCCAGCAGCCGCGGUAAGACAGAGGUGGCGAGCGUUGUUCGGAUUUAUUGGGCGUAAAGCGAACGCAGGUGGUUUAGUAAGUCAGGGGUGAAAUUCCGCAGCUUAACUGCGGCAUUGCCUUUGAUACUGCCUUUCUUGAGUGCAUGAGGGGGAAACGGAAUUCCGAGUGUAGAGGUGAAAUUCGUAGAUAUUCGGAGGAACACCGGUGGCGAAGGCGGCUUCCUGGCAUGUAACUGACACUCAUGUUCAAAAGCGUGGAUAGCAAACAGGAUUAGAUACCCUGGUAGUCCACGCCCUAAACGAUGGGCACUAGGUGUGGGAGGUAUCGACCCCUUCCGUGCCGCAGCUAACGCAUUAAGUGCCCCGCCUGGGGAGUACGGCCGCAAGGUUGAAACUCAAAGGAAUUGACGGGGGCCCGCACAAGCGGUGGUGCAUGUGGUUUAAUUCGAC
rnacentral:rRNA from 1 species